rnacentral:lncRNA from 1 species
UCAAUUUGAGGUCGGAUUUCAAAAUCAAUUAUAUAUUCGGGCUUGGGGGUGAAUGGGUAAAUGAAUUUUGGUCCGAACCUCGGGUUUUGACCAAGCGGGCCCGGGGUCGGUUGUUGAUUUUUGUUUGGAAAACUAUAAUUAUGCAUUAAAGUUGAUUCCUUUAGUGAUAAUUGAUGAUAUUAAACUAAUUAUGAUUAGAUAUGAGUGGGUUGGAGGUGAAUUCUAAAGGGAAAGCGAUACUUGAGCAGUGGGUGGCUUGCAAAAUUGAGGUAAGUGUCGUGUCUAACUUUGGCUUGAGGGAAUAGGUAUUGUGUGAGUAUUUGCUACAUGUUUUGUUGUUGAAUACGAUGUAUAGUUGAGGUGACGAGCAUCUAUGCGUUGUGGUCGAGUCAUAGCAUGCGAGUGAAAUUCCAUUCUUGCAAAUUUGUAGUCUUAAAUCUUGUUACCCAUAUAUAUUGUUGUUCUUGAAAUGUUGGGAGACUUGUAUCCGGUUCUACCAAGGUUGAUAAAAAUUGUGAAUUUUGAUUCGAGGUUGAGAUAUUAAAUUGUGAAAGUAAUCAUUGAUGAAAUAUUGAUUUCUUUGUGAAACUUCUCUCUAUCCGUUGUUAUUGAUUCUGUGAAUUGUGAGGAAGAGUAUAAAGCACGAAGGGUGAUGCCGUGCAUGAUUUAUUUAUAUUGUGAGAAAAAGUGUAAAGCACGAAGGGUGAUGUCGUGCAUGAUUUAUUUAUAUUGUGAGGACGAGUGUAAAGCACGAAGGGUGAUGCCGUGUAUAUUAUGAGAGGUUUAAUGCGCGAAGGGUGAUGCCGUACCGUUCUAUUUAUUUAUUUGGGUGAGGUUGAGAGUAAAAGCACGAAGGGUGAUGCCGUGCCGUUCUAUUUAUUUAUUUGGUAAGGUUGAGAGUAAAAGCACGAAGGGUGAUGCCGUGCAGUUUUCCUCUGCUGUUUAAAUUGCUCAAUUCAUUUAAGGAUUUUCUGUUUAAUUAUGUCUUUUUAUUAUUCUCACUCUUUAUAUUGUAUUCCCCCCACUGUAUCUUCUCUUCCCAUUAUUCCUGCAUUAUUUCUUUAUUUACUGUUAUUGCCACUAGCAUAAUUAUACUGUUCAGGUUAUAUGUGGGUGUCUUGUCCUAGCCUCAUCACUACCUUGCCAAGGAUAAGCUAGACACUUACCAGUACAUGAGGUCGGUUAUACUGAUGCGGCACUCUGCACUUUCUGUGCAGACUUUGAUACCGGCUUAGGUUGAUCGAGAUUUUGCUAUUGGUCCGCUGACUAGAGACUCAAGUUAGAUCUGUCGGCGUUCACAGACCUUGAAGUCCCCGUUUACUUUUUAUGUCAUUGUUGUUUUCUUUCAUUCAGAGAGUUGUAUUUCUUCCAGACUAUUAGUUGUAGUAAAUUCUAGAAUGCUCGUGAAUUGUGACUCCAGAUCCAGGUGGUAGUAAUUAAUACAGUUUUAUGAUAUUCCGCACUUAUUAUAUUUUAUCUUAAUGAUUCUCUAAAGUUGGCUUGCCUAGCAAGUGAAAUGUUAGGCGCCAUCACGGUCCCGUCGGUAAAAAAUUUGGGUCGUGACAGUUGGUAUCAGAGCACUAGGUUGCUUAGAUCUAACGAUUCACGAGCAAGCUUAGUAGAGUCUGGAGGAUCAGCACAGAGAC